rnacentral:lncRNA from 1 species
GGGAUGUAGGUGUGUAGUGUCACCCAUGGGACCUAAAUCCAGCAUCAGGACUUAUGAGAUUGGAGAGUACAGACCUGGAUCUCCACACUGGGUCCCAUUUUCUUCCCUAGAGUGUGCUGGGGAGCCAGGGGAGAGUUGUGAGCUGGGAAGGGACAGAUAGCCUCUGGUAUCUUGAGGCAGGAGAAUGACUGAGGUUCUUAGAGGUGCAGCCGAGAGGGGAGAUACACGUGUGUGUGGAACUGCCUUCAUCCCCCACUAAUUGCUACCGGCUGUGCACAGAGGGAUGCACCACUGGAGGAGCCCAGUUCUUUGCAGUGUCCUCAGGCUGGAGACUCAGGGGACAUACAUGGUGAGAAGCCUCCUGCGGUGAUGCCUGUGUGGGCUUGAACCCCAGCUCUGACGGCUGUCAGUGGAAUGACCUUCAGUGUUCCGACAUGGCGACCGGGCCCCACUGGCCUCCUACCCCACAGAUCCACACAAGGAAGCUGCCUCCACCUUGUGGCCCCGAGGUUUGGGCCAACUGACUAAGGAGGGCAUCCGCCAGCAGCUGGAACUGGGCCGAUUUCUGAGGAGGCGUUACAAGGCCUUCCUGAGCCCUGAGUACAGGCGCGAAGAGGUGUACAUCCGCAGCACAGACUUUGACCGGACAUUGGAGAGUGCACAGGCCAACCUGGCUGGGCUCUUCCCCGAGGCUGCCCCUGGAAGUCCUGAGGCUGACUGGAAGCCCAUUCCAGUGCACACAGUGCCUGUGUCUGAGGACA